rnacentral:rRNA from 1 species
AACGCUAGCGGCAGGCUUAAUACAUGCAAGUUGAGGGGCAGCAUGAUAUACGCGAGUAUAUUGAUGGCGACCGGCGGACGGGUGAGUAAUAGGUAGGAGACCUACCUCAUACAGGGGGAUAGCAUAGAGAAAUCUGUGGUAAUACCCCAUGAGGUUAUAUGAAUAGAGGCAUAUAAUCAAAGCAUAAGCGAUUAUGCGGUAUGAGAGGGGCCUACUGACCAUUAGCUAGUUGGUGAGGUAAGGGCUCACCAAGGCGAAGAUGGUUAGGGGUUUUGAGAGAGAGACCCCCCACAUUGGAACUGAGAGACGGUCCAGACUCCUACGGGAGGCAGCAGUAGGGAAUAUUGGGCAAUGGGCGAAAGCCUGACCCAGCCAUGCCGCGUGAAGGAAGACGGCCUUAUGGGUUGUAAACUUCUUUACUAUGCGACUAACUAGAUUUACGAGAUAAUUCUAUAGAAUGUAGCAUAGCAAAAAGCACCGGCUAACUCCGUG